CCUACGGGUGGCAGCAGUGAGGAAUAUUGGUCAAUGGACGAGAGUCUGAACCAGCCAAGUAGCGUGAAGGAUGACUGCCCUAUGGGUUGUAAACUUCUUUUAUAUGGGAAUAAAAUGUUUCACGUGUGGGAUUUUGUAUGUAACAUAUGAAUAAGGAUCGGCUAACUCCGUGCCAGCAGCCGCGGUAAUACGGAGGAUCCGAACGUUUACCGGAGUUAUUGGGGUUAAAGGGAGCGUAGGUGGAUUGUUAAGUCAGUUGUGAAAGUUUGCGGCUCAACCGUAAAAUUGCAGUUGAAACUGGCAGUCUUGAGUUGAGUAGGGGUGGGCGGAAUUCGUGGUGGAGCGGUGAAAUGCUUAGAUAUCACGAAGAACUCCGAUUGCGAAAGCAGCUCACUGGACUGCAACUGACACUGAGGCUCGAAAGUGUGGGUAUCAAACAGGAUUAGAUACCCCUGUAGUC
rnacentral:rRNA from 1 species